UCGGAGGUGGUGCAUGGUGCACCCCCACCCCGUGUAGCCAUAUGUCAUUCUGGUCUCCAAUAAAUGGGAGUUUCGGGUUCGAUUCCUGACCUCCGAA